rnacentral:lncRNA from 10 species
GCUCAGAGGAUAAUUCUGCAUAAGCCAACUCGAAAAGCUGUACAAAAAAUAAGCAGAAGUGUCCCAGGAGCCCUAUUCUGACAGGCGUGCAUGACAUAAUCCUUGAGGGCUUGGUCUUCCCAAGUGAAAUUGUGGGCAAGAGAAACUGGAUGGCAGGCAGCUCAUAAAGGUUCAUUUGGACAAAGCACAGCAGAACAAUGUUGAAAACAAGGCUGAAACUUUUUCUGGUGUCUGUAAGAAGCUCAUGGGCAAGGAUGUUAUUUUUAACUUCCAGAGUUUCGGUUUUA